UGUGGAAGGUAAAUAGCUGGUCUCAAUAGUGUAAUGAUCAUGUACAGUAGGACUGUGGUUGAGUGGUAACAGUCCUGGAUCUAGACACAUCUACUGCAAUCCCCACGUCCUACCCUUCAUCCUAGCAGAGGAAAGGCCCUGACGCGCCCGGAGAUGUUAGUGACAGGCAAGCCCCAUGACUAUACUUCUGCUUUUUUUUUCAAACUACAGUACGGAAAUGUACACGUUUAGCUAUAAUGUGUGUAACGAAUGUUAGAGUCCCCCACUCCACUUUACCUCUCUCUCUCUCUCUCUCGCUCUCUCUUGGUUCCGAUGUGCCUCUGGUUCUUCUUCUUACCAGAUCCGUUCCAGGGAGCGCAGCACGGGGUCCUGACGCUGAGCCAGCUGGAGGAGGCGGUUAAAGGAACCAUUUCUGAGGAGGAUGAACAGCCAGUAGGGCCUCAUUCACAAGGGGCCUGUUCUGUGGCGUAGGAGAUUUCAGAAAACAGAUGGCUAUAUUGAUUUAAACUGGUGUUGACGACAACGCCGCGGAGACGGACAGCCGCGGAGUGACAUAGGGUUUCCAUCACUUCCGAAGUCCCGCCCCCCCCCUUCAUUUUCAAAAGGAGCACGAGGAGAAAUACGCCAGGGAUUGUGGGAAGGUGAGCGGCACGAUCCCUGCUAACAGAGCGAUAGAUUCCACACGGCCACCACUGCAUGUUAACCAAUCAGGCCGGUGGUAGAUGGUCCGCUUCACGAAGCUGAGGCGCGGGAGGUCCCUCCGCCCCCCCUGGAAAUCGAGGGGGCUCCGGCAUGCGCAGUGCGAUCCAUACUGGAAUCCAGGCGUCGGGUAAGGGGCCUGCAGUACCUCGUGGAUUGGGAGGGGUACGGUCCGGAGGACAGAUGCUGGGUGCACGUGGAGGACGUCUUGGAUCCAUCUCUGCUGAGUGAGUUUCACCGCCUCCAUCCGGAUCGCCCUGCGCCUCGUCCUCCGGGUCGUCCUCGAGGCCGGCGUCGGCGCGCUGCGGGAGCUGCGCAUCAGGAGAGGGAUACUGUCACGACUUCCACCGAAGGUGGCUCCUCUCCCUGUUCGGACGGUGCUCGGUGGUCGUCGUCGCCGGCCUACUAGCUGUCCUACUAGCCAGACUACUAGUCUGUCUGUUGUUGUUAGCGCCUGUGUCUGAUUAGUUAUUUCGGUGGGUUUAUUAACCUCCACUCCCUGCUAGUCUUGCGGAGGUUGUGCGGGAUGGAUUUUGCUGUGUUAGCUCUGUUAGGGGUGUGUGUUUGCGCCACAGGGUUUUUUCCUCACAGUCGUUGUACCGUGGGUACUAUAUUUAGGAAUAUAGUUUUCUCCUCCGUGUGUUUCAUGAUUUUCCCCGCCUCUUGUUGGUGGGUUGGGACUUAUAAUAAACGACUGUGCAAACUGAAAUUCCUUGCUCUCCUGACUCCUGCACCUACCUCUUCUUAGGAGGCAGCUAGCACCACUAUGCUUGAAAAUAUGGAAUGUUGUGCUCAGUAAUAUGUUUGGGGCAAAUCCAAUACAACACAACACUUUGUAUUCAGGACAAAAAAGUGAAUUGCUAUUCCACAUUUUUUUGCAGCUGUUGAUCCAUCCUCAUGUCUCUCCUAUCACAGCCAUUAAACUCUGUAACUGUUUUAAAGUCA